rnacentral:rRNA from 1 species
CCCUUAGAUGUUCUGGGCUGCACGCGCGCUACACUGAUGCGCUCAACGAGUUUUAACCUUGCCUGGAAAGGUUGGGUAAUCUUUUUAAAACGCAUCGUGAUGGGGAUAGAUUAUUGCAAUUAUUAAUCUUCAACGAGGAAUUCCUAGUAAGCGCGAGUCAUCAGCUCGUGCUGAUUACGUCCCUGCCCUUUGUACACACCGCCCGUCGCUCCUACCGAUUGAAUGUUUCGGUGAAGAUUCCGGAUAGGACUGAUUUGAUUUAUUUCAUUUCUGACCUAAAAGCUAUCUAAACCUCAACAUUUAGAGGAAGGUGAAGUCGUAACA